UCUCCUCCAGAACUAUCAGAACCCUAAUUUUUCUUAUUUGUUAUGUUUGAUUGUUCUUAUUUGGUUGUCAUCAUAAUUAUCAUAUUGUCUAUUUUGAUGCACUUUCUUUUAUUUUUUUCAAGGAGAAAUUUUGCAUUCGAAGCUGUGAUCGAGGAGAAAUUUUGCAUUCGAAGCUGCGAUCAAUCGGUUGCUUAUAUCAACACUUUGUUUGUAAAAAAAAAACACUUUUUAUGUUGAUCAUAGCUUUACUAAAGAAGUGAUGUUGCUGUUAGAUUUUAUAUGGAUUUCACAUAGAACCAACCAAUAUGUGUGUUAGUUGUUUGACGAUUUGCCCGGAAGGAAGGCAUCUUAUGGAUAUAAAAUGAAGGAGAUAACACGAAGUGGGAUCUUUGUUAGUGAUGGGGAAAACAAAUAAUAGUGCAAAGACCCACGCUAAAUGUUUCAAUCUGUGGCAGGCUCCAAAUUAAAAAAAAAAAGAGCUUUGUGAAUCAGGAGGGUAAGUUCUUAACCCAUUCCCUUUUGAGGUGAGCAUAUUCUGAACUAAACUCAGUAAGUUCUUACCCCCAUCCAAUUCCAUUUUUCUUUCUAUUCUAUUAAAUAAAUAGCAGCAAAU